UACAGAAGUCUCAAGCGUUGUUCGGAUUCAUUGGGCGUAAAGGGUGCGUAGGCGGCGCGGUAAGUCGGGUGUGAAAUCUCGGGGCUUAACUCCGAAACUGCAUUCGAUACUGCCGUGCUUGAGGACUGGAGAGGAGACUGGAAUUUACGGUGUAGCGGUGAAAUGCGUAGAUAUCGUAAGGAAGACCAGUGGCGAAGGCGGGUCUCUGGACAGUUCCUGACGCUGAGGCACGAAGGCCAGGGGAGCAAACGGG
rnacentral:rRNA from 1 species